rnacentral:rRNA from 1 species
UACGAAGGGGGCAAGCGUUGUUCGGAAUUAUUGGGCGUAAAGGGAGCGUAGGCGGUUCGGCAAGUCUGUAGUGAAAUCUCUGGGCUCAACUCAGAGUCUGCUGGAGAAACUGCCGGGCUGGAGUAUGGGAGAGGUGAGUGGAAUUCCCGGUGUAGCGGUGAAAUGCGUAGAUAUUCGGAGGAACACCAGUGGCGAAGGCGGCUUACUGGUCCAUUACUGACGCUGAGGUGCGAAAGCGUGGGGAGCAAACAGG